GGGGGAGUUUUAGUAGGUAGGCGCCAAGGAUGGCGAAUCCUAAAUACUGCUGGUACGGGCCAGUAGUAUCUUUGGAAGAUUUCUAUCUCC
rfam:Glossina pallidipes unplaced genomic scaffold Scaffold414, whole genome shotgun sequence.